UUGCUCAGGCUGGUCUUCCUCCGAAGCUGAGACUACGGACACAUGCACUGCUGAGGGCUUCCUACGCUUCACAGGGCUCUGUCUCAUGGACAUCACAAAGAUAAGGCUGGCUUGCAGCAGCACUCAGCCCUGGAGGAGAGCACUGUCAGAGUCAGCUUUCCAGCACCCCCAAGAUUUCCCUUCCUCAGCUAAUGUAUUGCAGGGUUAGGUCAAGGUCAGGAAGGGGCCCUGAGAUGGCAGGUGUGGUGCUGUGGAAAUUCCAUUGCUCUCCAAGUCUGAAUGUCUUUCUGAGGCCUGUUGGGGCAGGCCUUGUGUCCACUCCUCCAAGCUAGAGCUGGGGUUCUGCCAGUUGCCUACUCACGUUUCCGAAAGUUGAGAACACAGGACAUUUGGCGUUCUCAAACGCAGCCUCGCCCAUGCUCCACCGAUUCCUGACAACUCACGUCCCAGUGCGGCUAGCAGAUCCUAAAAGAGCCAUGAGAACAGCGGUGGGUGGAGCAGCCCGCCAUGGAGGAAGAGCCAGGCAACGGCACCAACUGACAUCAGUGUGUUUUCCACCACACACCUGAAAACAGGACGCCUCUCACUUAAU